GGAUGCAUAGUGUAGCAAACUUUGCUCGCACUCGGAUCGCGACUGGGCGUCGAAAUUGCGUGUUUGGUCUGCAUCUGGACUUUUUCGAUUCAGCUGCCCCGCGAACACAGAAAAAUAAAGUAAAACAAAAAGGAAUUAAUUGAAAAUAAAAUUCAUUAAAAAUGCUGCAUUGACAAAUAAAUCAUUGUUCGUUUGGCUGUCAUGUCAAAUAAAUCAUAAGACACGACAAAACUGAGCGGGCAAAUGGGAAACUCGGGAACUCGGAAAAUGGAAAACUCCUCGCACCACGAUUUUCUUACUUUGCGUGCCGAGUUGCGUUGAUGAAGAGUUAACGCAUAGGUAUAUAUAAAGCGUUUUUCCCUCUGCUUUCCCGAAAAACGAGCAAACGAAAGGUAUUAUAUCAAGAGGAAAACGAACGGAAAGCGGUGGAAAAUAGAUAAGUUUGGCGACCGCAACAAGUAUACGCAAUGUUGGACGGCCUGCCUGCCACGCUUUUCCUUGCCCCUCGGCUCCUGUCAGCCUGUGACGCUUUUGCCGCUUUCCACCGCCCCUUCCCAGUUUUCAAUUUUCCUUUUUCCAUGUUAAUGAAACGCGAUUUCCUAGCUGACGUCUGUUGUUGCAACUACUGCCGUUGCUGGUUGUUAUUAUUCACGCGCUUAGAGUCAAUUAUCAAAACCGACAAAAAAUAGGCCCGGAUGGCGGGAAACGCUGGUGGGAAAAGUCAUCGAACCAGGGAUGCUCUAAAAAGGAGCUUAUUUUCUUUGGGAAAAUGCCUCGGCCGCGAUAUGGAAAGUGCCGGCCCACGCGCAGAUUACGAAAAACUCUGGACCUACGGAACCGAAGGGGGCGAAGCGGCUGACAGCUCGGAUUGCCUCAAGUUCAGCGCUUUGAUUUUCAAUUCGGUUCACGAUUUGCAUGGCUAGACGAGAUACUUAUUAACCCAAGUGCUCCGACAAGAAGCGUGAUCCGAGUUUUUGGUCACACACCCCGAAGGCGGGAUCGGAUGCACUUGUUGUUGCUCCCGCCCCACGUUGCAUGUUGCUGUUGCCAGUUCCGUGGACUGGUAGGAAUAAUAUACCAUUUAUGGGAGUGGAUUACACGGGCAAACAUACUGAAUACAGCCUUUAGAGUCGAGUCUUUACCCAAAAAACGUCGAUUUGUUUUAGUUCUUAUACUAGUCAUAAUUGUUGAGAAAAACCC